ensembl:snoRNA
AAGCCAGCCAAUGAAUCUGCUUACCUGAAUGUGUUUCUGCGGAAAUUUAAAAAUCGCUGGCAAUAGUAAUGCCAUGCUACAGACCUUAAAGACAUUGAAGUCCUUAAGGUCCCUGAAAAUGGCUAUAAGA